CUCUCCUCCACUGAGUUCCCCAGGCUGGCUGGAGCGCCCGCAGCAUCCUGCUCCUGGCAGAAGGGAGAUGCUUCCUCACCACCAGACCCUCCAGCCUUUCCCUUUGUGUUUGCAGGCUGGUGGCAAGGAGGCAGAGGACUCACACCAAGCAUCCCGCUGCUGAGCUCCCCACUUACCUCUCUGCUGUGGAGGUGUCCCACAAACUCCAUAGCUCUGGAGGAGAAGCAGCAAAGAGAGCAGCAAGGCAGAGAAAAUCCUGUCCAUGGCUGCGGAGGAGCCAGUGCCUGGAUGCAGAGUAGCAAGCACGAGCCUUGGCCCAGAGGUUGUUACAGGGAGUGCAGGAGUCCCUCCCUGCCUGCUUCAUUACCAGAAAUGAUAUUUACUGCAGCACCACCAUAUAGCAAAAGUGGUAUUUACAGCAGUGGGAUAAGUGCAAAGCAUAAAAGAAAUGAUGUAAAGG